ensembl:lncRNA
UGAGCCUAUUUAUUUAUUUAUUUUUUCUCCAUUAACUUUAUUGGUACAUUUUAGGUAUACAAUACAGUAACAUUCAUCAUUGGGAUCUUGUACCUUUACAUGAGUCUCUUGGUUCUUAUUUUUUUUCCACUUUCCCUGGCCUCCUUUCACCCCCUCCACCCUUCCCUAUUUGCAAAGACUCUGUUUCCAUUUUUUUCCUUUUCUCAUAUUUUUUCUUUUCCCUGUUUUCCUUUCCCCUACCCCUCCCGCUUCCCCAGCUCCUUUAGACCUUUACUUCCUGCUACACAAUAUCAGUUAUACAUUUUUAAAUUACAAUAUCAAGACCUAGGAGACAUUACCAUAGAUUUUAGAGAAUUUAAAAGGAUAUAGAAAGCAUAUUACAAAAAUCUUUUUUGAAAUAAAUUUGACAACUUCUAAGAAGUACCUUGGAAGACAAAUUAAUGAAACUAACUCUGGAGGAAAUAUAAAAUUUGAAUAGCACCUAUUAAAGAAAGUAUAUUCUUAGCUUGAAAACCUACCUAUAUGACAACAGCAGGCUCAUAAACAUUUUAACUGAUAAAUUAUAUCAAACAAUUAAAGCAGAAAAAAGAAGGACCAUGUCUCCCCUCAUUUUAGGAACUCAACAUUGUGCUAAUCCUAAAACUGGAUAAAGAAAAUAGAAGAAAAAUGUAUGAACAUAGAUAGAAAUUUGUUUAACAAAACAAACUCUUAGAAGUCAGAUCUGGCAGUGUAUAGAAAGUGGUUUUGUUAUAGGGAUGAGCCUAUUUAUUUUUAAUAAAAGUACUACACUACGACUUUAGAUCACAUGAGUUUUAGUUUUUUUCUAGCUUGGCCUGGAUUUUGAUGAGUUAAAUCAAAAGCAAUCCAGCAUAUUCAUCAGCGUUGACCCAGACUGAUUAGCCCGCAGUAAAUCCUUGACACAAAUGAGCUAUGCUCUGGUCUUGGUUACCGGUUUGUUUUGUUUGGUUUCUGGAAGGGACCAGACCCUGCAGUGGUCUGCAUGAUGACAUCAUCGGUCUGCACCCACAGGUUCAAUAUCUGCAGAUCCAAUUCACCACAGUUGGAAAAUUUAAAAAAAAUUUUUGUCUGUAUUGAACAUGCAUAGAAUUUUUUGUCAUUAUUCUCUAUGCAGGACAGUAUAACAGCUAUUCACAUAAUUUUUACAUUGUAUUUGAUAUUUUAAUCUAAACAUGAUCUAAGUAAAUGUGAGGGUGUGCAGGGAUUGUAUGUAAGUGCUAUGCCAUCUUACAUAAGGGACUGGGGCAUCUGGGUUUUCAUAUCCAUGGGAGGAGGGCUCAGAAACAGUCCCGUGGAUGCUGAGGAGCAGCUGCAGUUGCUGGGUCAGCUUCAUAUUUACAAGAUCCAUGUGUGUGCACUGUGGGUGGUGGUCACCCUGAAAAUACAGAGAUCAGGGUCACAGAGGCUAAGCGAGUGGGUUUGAAAUCAGCCACCUGGGAGUGAAUUCUGGCUUUCCCAUUUGUUAACUAUCUAGUGUAGAAAAAAAUCACCAUGUUUCUAGUCACCUAGUUUUCUAUCUAUCUGGGGUUAAAAGUUCUUACAAUUUUUUUUCCACAAAG